AUUGAACGCUGGCGGCAGGCCUAACACAUGCAAGUCGAGCGGAUGAAGGGAGCUUGCUCCUGGAUUCAGCGGCGGACGGGUGAGUAAUGCCUAGGAAUCUGCCUGGUAGUGGGGGAUAACGUCCGGAAACGGGCGCUAAUACCGCAUACGUCCUGAGGGAGAAAGUGGGGGAUCUUCGGACCUCACGCUAUCAGAUGAGCCUAGGUCGGAUUAGCUAGUUGGUGGGGUAAAGGCCUACCAAGGCGACGAUCCGUAACUGGGCUGAGAGGAUGAUCAGUCACACUGGGAGUGAGACACGGUCCAGACUCCUACGGGAGGCAGCAGUGGGGAAUAUUGGACGAUGGGCGAAAGCCUGAUCCAGCCAUGCCGCGUGUGUGAAGAAGGGCUUCGGAUUGUAAAGCACUUUAAGUUGGGAGGAAGGGCAGUAGGUUAAUACCUUGCUGUUUUGACGUUACCAACAGAAUAAGCACCGGCUAACUUCGUG
rnacentral:rRNA from 1 species